rnacentral:rRNA from 1 species
GACGAACGCUGGCGGCGUGCUUAACACAUGCAAGUCGAACGGAAAGGCCCUGCUUGCAGGGUACUCGAGUGGCGAACGGGUGAGUAACACGUGGGUGAUCUGCCCUGGACUUCGGGAUAAGCCUGGGAAACUGGGUCUAAUACCGGAUAGGAGCCAUUUUUAGUGUGAUGGUUGGAAAGUUUUUUCGGUGUAGGAUGAGCUCGCGGCCUAUCAGCUUGUUGGUGGGGUAAUGGCCUACCAAGGCGGCGACGGGUAGCCGGCCUGAGAGGGUGGACGGCCACAUUGGGACUGAGAUACGGCCCAGACUCCUACGGGAGGCAGCAGUGGGGAAUAUUGCACAAUGGGCGCAAGCCUGAUGCAGCGACGCCGCGUGGGGGAUGACGGCCUUCGGGUUGUAAACACCUUUCGCUAGGGACGAAGCUUUUUGUGACGGUACCUAGAUAAGAAGCACCGGCUAACUACGUG